rnacentral:rRNA from 1 species
AACUUAAGGAAUUGACGGGACCCGCACAAGCAGCGAGCAUGUGGUUUAAUUCGAAGCAACGCGCAGAACCUUACCAACCCUUGACAUGGCAGGACCGCUGGAGAGAUUCAGCUUUCUCGUAAGAGACCUGCACACAGGUGCUGCAUGGCUGUCGUCAGCUCGUGUCGUGAGAUGUUCGGUUAAGUCCGGCAACGAGCGCAACCCACGUCCCUAGUUGCCAGCAUUCAGUUGGGCACUCUAUGGAAACUGCCGGUGAUUAAGCCCGGAGGAAGGUGUGGAUGACGUCAAGUCCUCAUGGCCCUUACGGGUUGGGCUACACACGUGCUACAAUGGUGGUGACAGUGGGUUAAUCCCCAAAGGCCAUCUCAGUUCGGAUUGUCCUCUGCAACUCGAGGGCAUGAAGUUGGAAUCGCUAGUAAUCGCGGAACAGCAUGCCGCGGUGAAUACGUUCCCGGGCCUU